rnacentral:lncRNA from 1 species
CUCAGACCAGCAGAGCCAGCAGCAUCAGAAGGGACCAGAGGGAAUCAGCCUAGGUUCCGUCCUCACUGCCAAGAAACAGCCAGUUAGGCAGCAUCUCCAUUCCUCCCUGUUCUAUCCGCAUGCUGUUCUGCUGAGACUACAGAGUACCUCAGGGAGUCAUGCAUCCUCUUCCUGUUGCUUUACUGAAUCUUAAAGAGUGAUACAGUACUAAUGAUGCCAUUCUAGCAACUGGAGCAGCUUCAGGGGAGAGAGCACAUUAAGGGUGCUGGGAUGGUAAUGGUUGGGAGGAAGCUGAAUGGUAGUAAGAGAGACAUUCUGUCCUGAGAACUCUGAUCCAGGAUCUGAAUGAUGCAGUGUCGCAAUCCCAUUUUAUAAAUGAGGCAACCAAAACUCGAACAGGACCAUAUUGCGACUGAAACAAGGCAUAACAGGUCUUUGACUGGCUAUCCUGUGGAUGUGGACUCAGGCUAGCCUGCGCAAAGUGAAAGACAGGCAAUUAGAUUGAAAAAUACCUGUGAUUCAAAGAAGUCACAAGUCACAGAGACAAACUUUUCCCAGUGUGUUCGAGUCAGAGAACCUUUGCAAAGACCAACAGGCUAAAAGAGAAAAUACAAUGUCAUCUUGAUGCAGAUGAGCAGGUAACCAUGGAAGUCGUGAGCUGAGGCUGCAGAGUCUAGAGCCAGAGUGUGGAAUAAACUUGGGUCUCAAAUCACCCCUGGAGCAAAGCACCCAUCUAAUCAGGAACUUCUACUUUCAACUUUACAUGCGUGAGAAAUGAACUUCUAUCAUGUUAGAGAAAUCCUUACACGGCGCCCUUGAGAGCUUUCAUACUGCAAGUCAUCCAUUUUCCUCCCCUCAAACCUGGCAUCGGAGUUUAUUGAAACAAAGCAAAAUAAAACAAAUAGACAAAGCUCUACCUCCAUCACUUCUGCAGUCUACAUUAACCCCACGUCCAGAAUAUUCACACCUCAGGUCUUUUUCUCACAAUUGAAACACUGGUUCAGAGCCUAACGGAAGGUCUUGGAGGUAAAAACACAACUUGGGGCAACUUUUCCAUUCUGUUCUGCAUGACCCCAAUGGGACUUCUCAGAAACCCCUCUCAUGAAUUAAACUUUGUUCUGUCUAGAGCAUUAGAAUAAGCUUAUGGGCACCUGCCAGGAGAUUAUAAAGUGGGCCAUUUAAAAGAUGACAGAUAUUGAGCACCCUUGACCCUGUAGAAAGAGUGUACCUACUUGCUUUCCCUAGGGCCCUUAAUGGUUUAUAAAAACAAGCACUCACUGAUUCAAAAAAUAUCCUCAUUCCACAGUCUUGCCAUGCCUUCUUUCUGAGCACAUGGCAGUCAGUCUCUAGCACAUCCAGUGUAAGAUAGAACAGAGAUCCCAGGCCACCCUGUGGGAAGGGGUAGAGAAAUGCAAUACAUUUCACAGGAAGUAGAAACCUAGAAAGACCACACAAAAAAACCCCUGCUUUAUGGCAAAGCCAAAGAAUAUUUGUGAAGAUUCCCCGUAAACCAUUAAAUCUGACACAAGUGUCAGAGUAGGAUCACUGUUAACACUUGUUUUUACUAACAAUAAGUGCGUUGUUGCUGACCCUGGCAGAGGAGAACAGAGAGUUCUCGGCAGGGCUUCCAAUACAGAAAACACCUGCCAGGGUGUCUCUGGGUUCCCUCACCCUGGCCAGUCUCUCCAGCUUGCCCACAUCCCUGCCCCAGAGUGGGAACUGUCCCUACUUGCCCGUCUGUAUUCCUGGGCGUCGUUCACUCGGUUGAGUCUCAGCACAUAGCCAUCCUUUCUGUCUUUG